GAUGAACGCUGGCGGCGUGCCUAAUACAUGCAAGUCGAGCGAACGGACGAGAAGCUUGCUUCUCUGAUGUUAGCGGCGGACGGGUGAGUAACACGUGGAUAACCUACCUAUAAGACUGGGAUAACUUCGGGAAACCGGAGCUAAUACCGGAUAAUAUUUUGAACCGCAUGGUUCAAAAGUGAAAGACGGUCUUGCUGUCACUUAUAGAUGGAUCCGCGCUGCAUUAGCUAGUUGGUAAGGUAACGGCUUACCAAGGCAACGAUGCAUAGCCGACCUGAGAGGGUGAUCGGCCACACUGGAACUGAGACACGGUCCAGACUCCUACGGGAGGCAGCAGUAGGGAAUCAUCCGCAAAGGGCGAAAGCCUGACGGAGCAACGCCGCGUGAGUGAUGAAGGUCUUCGGAUCGUAAAACUCUGUUAUUAGGGAAGAACAUAUGUGUAAGUAACUGUGCACAUCUUGACGGUACCUAAUCAGAAAGCCACGGCUAACUACGUG
rnacentral:rRNA from 1 species